rnacentral:rRNA from 1 species
AUCGAACGCUGGCGGCAGGCCUAACACAUGCAAGUCGAACGAACUCUUCGGUGUUAGUGGCUGACGGGUGGGUACCACGUGGUAACGUGUCUUUUGGUUCGUAUUCACUCAGGGAAGCUUGUGCUACUACCGACUGUUCCCUUCGGGGUACAGUUUUCUUGCGAUUAGAGCGGCCCGCGUCGGAUUAGCUUGUUGGUUUGGUAACUGCGUACCAAGGCGGGGAUCAGUAGCUGGUCUGAGAGGAUGACCAGACACACUGAGAGUGAGACACGGUGCAGACUUUUACGGGAGGCAGGAGUGGGGAAUCCAGCAAAAUGGGGGAAAGGCUGACGCAGCCAGGCUGCGUGAAUGAUGAAGGUCUUAGGAUUGUAAAAGGCUUUAACCGGGGACGAGAAUGACGGUACCCGGAGAAGAAGCCCCGGCUAACUUCGUG